GCAUUACCUAGUGGAAGCAGAUUAGACCUGCAUGCUGGAACAAACAAUUUCCAUUCACCUCUGCUAUGCCGAUAGAACUCACCUUUCUUCCAACCACCAAUCAGGCAUUGGUGCUGGACCUUCCCUACAAGCUCCUGUUCCCAAAGCCAUACUGACUCUGUGAGAUCUCCAUAGCAUACGACCUUCCUUUCCGAACUGGCAAAGCACAGUCAGAGCGGAGCAAGGAGAGAGGCUGAAUACAUUUCUCCUGGAUGAGUUAUACCCAGAAGUGAUUACUUCCAGCAAGACAAAGGACACAGAGGGAGAGCCGCGAUCAUCACUGAUAAGAAAUAAUGAUUUUGUGCUGUUA